rnacentral:lncRNA from 1 species
GAAGGCUGUAGAGCACGUGUUCUGUUACAUUUUCCUUCCUAAUUACAAUCCGUCAUUAAGGGCGGCCGGAUGGCCGAGUGGUAACGCUAGAUAUUGAAAAGGUUAAAAGGGCGUACUCAUGGGUAUAACCCUUGAAGAAUGAAAAGAAGGGAGAAGGGGAAGAAGAGUGAAGAUAAGUAAAAUAGGGAAGUCCUGUCAGAAGAAGUGUGACAAGCCACUAGAAAAUGAAGAGUGAUAGCAAUCGAACACCGAAAUCGCAUUACCAUCUGCAUCACUUGUUUGUGAACACAAACAAUUAUCACUUAAAAGUUAACAUAAAACAAAACAAUGAAGAGAAGUUAAACACCAACUCGGGGAAAGAAAAGUUCCAAAGAUCGCUUCAGAGUUUUCAGCUGUCAAAUGUUUCUCAUCAACGACAGGUGAGCACUGAUGAUCCAGAAAUCGAUUCGAGUACUCCAGCACGGAAAACAGUCAUGGAACAAAUUCUUCUCUGACGUUAAUUACGAUAAGCACAACACAGUAAAGCAUUAGAAAUUAACAUCUUCCAAAAAUUGAUCAGUUCACAAAUGAAGGAGGGAAAAAAACUGGAAAGAGCGGAUAUCCCUAAUUAAAAGUUGGCAAAAGAGCUC